AGACUAUGAUGUGGGCAUUUUCUUAAUAACUCCUUGAACUUUUCCAUGUCUCGUACACAGAUUCCCCAUCCUCUUGAGAGUAUGAGUUAAUUUCGGUCAUGAGUUU
rnacentral:snoRNA from 2 species